CUUCGUGUAAAGACUACAAGACCGGUGGUUUGAGGUGUGGUUUGGUGGCUGAGGCACCUGAGCUCGUGUUAGGUAGGAAAGGAGGAGGUGGGUUCAUGGAGGAACUCUUCAUCAUCUCCGGGAACUUUUUGGUGCAGGUCACGUAUGGGGUGUACAUGGUGUUCCUGAAUGGCGUCUUUAAUGCCGGCGUCAACCCGUUGUUCCUCGUUGUCUUCGGGAACUCGGUCACCGCCGUCGUCCUCCUCCCCUUUGCCCUAGCUUUCGAGAAGAAGAAAUGGCCGACCAGGUUGAGUGCCACGCUGUUGUCUCAUUUUCUUCUGCUUUCCUUGGGAGGGGUGACCUUAUUUCAAGCUCUAAUGUUGGUGGGAAUCAAGAAAGCAUCUCCAGAUGUUGCCUCUGCAAUGCCUAACUUGACUCCUGGUCUCAUCUUCAUAAUUUCAGCCUGCCUCAGGUUUGAGAAGUUUGAUGCAUGUUGCUGGUACAGUAGAGCCAAGAUCAUGGGGACUCUGGUGUGCUUGGCUGGGGUAUUCACAAUGUGCUUCUUGCAGGGCACAUCUGAGACACCAAGGUUGGCAAACAAUUGGUCAUUUCUCUUGGCUAAGCCCUUGACAUUGGACAAGGCCAUCAACAGAGACUGGGUGCUAGGCUGCUUCUAUCUUUUGGCAGGGGUUUUUAUCUUGUCCUGCACCACUGUUCUGCAGGCUGCAACCAUGCUAAAAUUUCCAGCACCCUUGUCCUUGGUUGUCAUAACCUCUGUGAUGGGCUCCUCUCUCACUGCACUGCUGCAGCUCAUAACUGAAGGCAAGAUCAGUGUUGGUCCUACCACCAUGAGCAUCACAAGCAUUGUGGCAAUUGUGCUUCUGGGUGGAGUUGCGAUGGGCACAUGCAUGGCAUUCCAAGGCUGGUGCAUCACUAAGAAGGGUCCAGUCCUGGUUUCCAUCUUCUGCCCCAUCCAAACAGUCAGCACUGUUGUUGUUUCAGCUGCACUCUUAGGACAGAUCAUUAGCCUCGGAAGCCUAGCAGGAAUAGUCCUCAUGUUUGCAGGACUGUACAUUGUUUUGUGGGCAAAGAAGAAUGAAACUUUCAGCAUGCUUGAUGUGGAUGCUGAGCCAGAGGUGCUUGUUGAAGAUGUUGAGAAGCCACUGCUGUCUUAACUCCAGGGGCAAAGUAGAACUAGUGUGAGAUAUGCACUAACUCGGUCAUAAAAUGCAGAGUCCAUGAGACCUGCUUUGACAAGGUUCUGCCUUGAUGGAGAAGAAGAAUGAACCAUACCUUAUCUGAUGUACUCAGAGCACCACCAUCAUGCUCCUCCACCGCCGCCAGCCUCUAGCGCCCUUGCGCGUCGCUCGUGCCACUGAAAAGCCGACGCCCUGGAUCGCGGCAUGCCGUCUUUGCAUGGCGGGAACAGCGGCAUCGCGGCCAUGGGGGCGGCGGAGGAAAUGCUGCCCUCUGAGGGGGUUGAGAAAGGAGUGCAUGAAGGGCAAAGGUGGCCUUGAGAACGAGGGGUGCGGCGGCGGAGAUCCGCGAGGCAGGAAACCGCCUCUGGCUCGGCAGGUUGAAGACGGCGCUGGAGGCGGGCGUCUGUGGCCGGCUUCUAGGAACACGAAUCAUAAAGCUAUCGGACAUGACCAAAACAAACGGCCCAUGAUUCACUUCCCGCAAAACAAAUGGGCCGGAUUGGGUUGGGUCGAACAAAAUCGAGCUCAACACAGAGUCAACGCAAACAUGUCGACUUGACCCACAAUCUUCGUCAUUUUAGCCCAUAAGAAAUCUUGACCCAAUUUGCACAGUAGGUAGGUUGCAAUG